GGAGGUUCUUCAAAUAAUUGUAAAAUUAAAUUACCAGCUUUAGAAUAUUUAACCAUAUGAUUUGCAACCCCAUUAUGUUCCCUUGAGAUGUGAUACAUUCUUACAUUCUCUUUCCUACGCAGAAGCCGAUGAAAAAGCCUUAACUCGACCAAGCUACUAUAAACACCACCACCUGCUAAUAGUAAUUCUACCAAUAGAGCAUUAUCACAUUCCACCUCAAUCCUCCUGAACCCUUUUCCCCAAGCAUUGCUUUACCUUCAACUUUGAAAAUGGAUUUCCUACCUAAUGACAUUGAGUAAUCACACAACCAUUCAACAUUUAAGUCUCGAAAUACACCUCCAAUGGACGCAUGAAGUACAUUAUGUGACACUGCCCCAUUUGUAUUAAGCUUUAUCCAAUCCUUCCCCGGACGAGACAAAUUCAAUAAAGAACGCAUGGAUCUAGGGUGAUUCAAUUUCACAUUUGUCUUUGCAUAACUCCUCGCCCACGGAUAACCUGUAACCAUAAUGACUUGAACACAAUUAUUAUUGUUAGAAGAAAACAAAAAAAAUCUUUGUCUUUCCAAAGAAACCAACAUAAAAUUGAGAACAGAGUUUACCAAUUAGUAUCAGCGUUACCAUAACUCCAUUU
rnacentral:lncRNA from 1 species